rnacentral:rRNA from 1 species
AUUGAACGCUGGCGGCAGGCCUAACACAUGCAAGUCGAACGAGUGGCGGACGGGUGAGUAAUGUCUGGGAAACUGCCCGAUGGAGGGGGAUAACUACUGGAAACGGUAGCUAAUACCGCAUACCAUCGGAUGUGCCCCGAUGGGAUUAGCUAGUAGGUGGGGUAACGGCUCACCUAGGCGGCGAUCCCUAGCUGGUCUGAGAGGAUGACCAGCCACACUGGAACUGAGAAACGGCCCAGAGUCCGACGGGAGGCGGCGGGGGGGAAUAUUGGACAGUGGGCGGAAGCCUGAUGCAGCCAUGCCGCGUGUAUGAAGAAGGCCUUCGGGUUGUAAAGUACUUUCAGCGAGGAGGCGUUACUCGCAGAAGAAGCACCGGCUAACUCCGUGCCAGCAGCCGCGGUAAUAC